AUGCGGAGACCGGCGGCGGCGGCCCGGAGCGUCGGGCGCCGUUCCCCUCCUCACCCUGCCUGCGGCGGCGUACGACUCGCCGCCCGCCGGCCGAGCUCGAGGCGCCGACAGAGAUUCGCAGCUCGGCGCCAUCGCCCUCCGCCCGCCCGCAGCCCCGUACGGAGCGCUCGGCUCGCCGCUCUCCGUCUCCCCGGAACCCCUGAGUGCCGGGCCCGAAGUGGCCCGCGAGGCCGGUGCCCAGGUGCCUCCCCGACUCCGGCGACCCGAGCGGCGGCCGAACCACCUGAGAGUCGGGUUGCGGCUGCCUCCCCGGCCAUCUUGUGCGGUGUGUGUGAGAGAGAGUCUGUCUCUCCUGUCUUCUCUCAACUCCUUCCUCCCCUCCCCCUCACAACAUGGCCGCCCGAGUCAGUACUCACUGCGGCGGGGAAGGGGCUGGGCCUGCGCUUCUACCCCCUGCCUACCGCUCAUUCCCCCCCCUUCCUGCCUUCUGCGCGUGCGCCAACCACUGCUCUCCGCCGGCCCCGAUGCUCCCGCCCCUCCGGGCCCGGCGCGCGCCGCUACCAUUGGCUGCGCUCCUCCCUCCUUCCUCCUCCCAUCCUGGGCCCGCGCGCAACUCAGCCGCCGCUUGCUUAUUGGCCGCCGCUUCCCACUGGUCUUUCCACCCUGCCUGCCCCACCGCAAGCUCAACGGUCGCAGCACAGUGUGGUGAGCGCGAGCCGCGUCUGCCGCUCCCUAUUGGCUCCGCUCCUUCUCUCGCGCCUCCUCCCGUCACCCACGGCCUCGCGCGAGUCCUGUGCCCCUCUCCGAAGCCCUACCCAGGCUCUGCUUGGGGGAAGGGUGGGACGCAUGGGAGUAGUUGCGGUGCUGCUACAUCCUGGGAAAUUUCCCAAGAUCUGGGGAACUUUGGAGUAAAAUGUUUCAGCUUGGGAAAUUGGGAAUUUUCGUUCACAACCUAAACAAUGCUGGGAAAGGUUUCAGAGUAACAGCCGUGUUAGUCUGCAUUCGCAAAAAGAAAAGGAGGACUUGUGGCACCUUGAAAAUUUCACAAAAAGUAAAAGACUGUCCAAGUCUCAAAAAUCCUGGGAAGCCUUCUUAAAAAGUAGUAAGUAAAAUACUUGUGCUUCUUUUAAAUUUCCCUCAAAAUGUGUUCAAUUCGAUUGGUGAAUAUGUGUCACGUGAUUUUCAUAAGCGGGCUAUGCUGCUCUCCUAUUGGUGGUGCUUCAGUACUGUAUCAUGAGGGCACAAGUGAAGUGACAAGCCUGCACACAUGCACUCACAACAAACCAACCUCAGCAACAGCUGGCUGGCGGGUAAUGAGGGGAUGGUUAUCAAAUGUAUCUUCUAGUUGCACAGAGAAUGUGGAGCAGAGGGUUGGGCUGUUCCUAAAUUUGUAACAGCACCUUCCUGCAGGCAAAUAUUAAAUAUCUUCGCCUACUGUGUUAGAUAUCUCUUUCCAUUUUUUAUCUACGUAAAAAAUUAAUAAAGAGACCUGUAAGGCUGGUGAGAAGAUGAAGAGGACUGCAGGAGUAGACAAAGAUCCGUCCACGUCAAAAUGAAAACAACGGGGUAGCACCGCCGACAGAGUGUUGAAGACUCAGGGUGAACUUCCACCAAAAGAGAAGCCAUCUACUUUAAAAAAAGCCUUUCAAGACUCGUGGCUUCAAGAAGGUAAAUACAAAGACCACUGCAGAAAGUAGAAAACAAUCGAUUAUUAGCUUAUUGCAAAUGUUGUGAUGUAAAAAUCCAGGCAGGUACUAGUGAGAUAGAUAAGAACGCUAAUGGUAAAAAACAUAAAAGGUUGAGACAGUAUCUAAUAAGAAGAAAAUUGAUGAUAUGUUUAAUAAACAAGAUUGUGAAAUUAAAAAAGCACAAAAAUUUGAAAAGCAAGUUAAAAAUGCAGAGAUUAGAAUGGCCUGUUACUUUGCUGCACACAAUGUCAGUAUUCAAUCUGAAGAACGCUUGACUGAAGUAGUUAAAAAAUGUUUCCCUGAUUCCAAAAUUGCUGAGGCUGUAACAAUAAAGAAAGAUAAAUGUACUGCUAUAAUUAGCAACGUUUUGGCGCAAACUGAGACUGAGGAACUUGUAGAAAAAUUGAAAGUUAAUGAAUUUAGUGUAUUUGUGGAUGAAUCUCCUUCAGGGAAUAAAUAUGACAACCAUAACACUCAAUUCUAGUGUAGUUAUAAGGUCAGCUUUGAAAGCAAAGCAAGAGAAAUGUUCUAAUUUUGUAAUUACUAUUAAGCACUUGUAUUUACAUUGUAAAAAUAUGUACAGUAAAAAUGACAGUGAUAAAACUAGUAAAAAUAUUAAUGAUGGUAAUGAUGUUCCUAGUGACGACUCAAACUAUGAGUCAGCAAAUGGAUAAAACUCAGAGAUUAUAAUAAUAAGGAAAAUUAAAUAAAAGAGUGUUAUUUGUUCUUUCUGUUUGCUUUUUUAUAAUCAUAUGUUUACUUUCAAAGUAACUUUAAUGUACAGUACACUGCAGGGCACAUGCUGUACUUAUUAAUACUUUUGUUUUUAAAAUAGUGAAAUUUGUGUAAAAUACAUCAUUUUUUAUAAUUUCAGUCCUACUCCUCAUGUGUUAAAUAUUUUAUUUACUGUAUAAGUAACAUAAGUUUAAAAUUGAAAAACAUGUCUAUAUGUAUAAAAAUUAUAAUAAAUGUGAAAUAUCUCGAACGAAUAAGAAUAAGUUGGAUAUAAUAUAUAUUAUAUAGUUAUUUAAAACACACAUAUUACGUUCCUUUGAGAUUUUGAAAUAAAAAACUUUAUCUGG